rnacentral:tRNA from 1 species
GGCGGAUGUAGCCAAGUGGAUCAAGGCAGUGGAUUGGAACCCCCCCCUGGGGGGGGAAAAUAU